AUGGCGUUGGGUCGGCUCCUGUACACAUCCGAGACAGAGAGGGAAAGAUGGUGGCGAGGUCGGACGGUUCACCGGGGCGGCAACGGUUGCCGAGACGACAUGGCAGGGAGGCGGUGUCGCAGGGCUGCUGGUGGCGGGGACAAGAGGAAGGCGGCAACACUGUCGGCCGGUCGGGCCAAGGGAAAUGACUACCGUUCCAAGGUCUCUGGUCUGGGAGCUUGUGAAGAAGAGCAAGUGCUUCUUGAUCAAGCGGUUUGGCAACUGCAAUGCCAAGGUCCAGUUUCGCAAGGACCAAACGACCUCUACAAUGUCUGUUACUACAAGUUCUUAGGCUUAGCAAACAACAAGACCGUGGCGGUCCAGCCAUCAGCGGGAGAGGAGAAGGCUGUUGUCCUAUCCACGAGCAAGACCAAGAAGCAGGACACCCAUGCCAAGCUGUUGCACAAGACUCUAAUGCGCAAGCAGUUCCGCAAGAUGGCAGGACAUGGGGUUUUGCUAGAGUUGCGGGCCGACUCCCCAAAGCCGACUUCUCUGGAAGUCGCCAGUCAGGAGUCGGCUUAUCCUGAAGUCGUCCCUGGGACUCGGCCGCGAGUGGGCAGUCGGCCGUCUUGCCGUCGUCUUCUCAGAAGGCGGCUUUUCGUCCUAGAGUCUUGA
rnacentral:rRNA from 1 species